rnacentral:antisense_RNA from 1 species
AACCAUGGUGGGCGAUGCGGGGGAUCCCAGAUCCGCCGGUCAUUUUUGCUGCCUUCAACCGGUAUGCGAACCCGCAUCGCCCGCCACCUGA